GUUUAUUUGUCACCAGCUAAAGCACCUCUGUAGAAUUUGAUGAUGGGAGAUGGGAGAUGGGAGAUGGGAGAGGAUCUUAGCGACGUCACUCCCUGUACUUCCCUCGCCGUUGAUUCCGUCAUCCGCUUGGGAACGGCAGGAGCACUAUGGGGCGUAUGUAGAGCUCCAUACGAGGCUCGCAAAAGAGACCUGACCGGCAUUGCUCGUGCUUCAUAUGUGGGGAAGUCAAUCGGCAAAUAUGGCUUUCAAUGCGGAUUGAUUGCUGGAAUCCUAAAUACUACUCAAUGUGGACUUAAAAGAUAUCGAAGGAAAAACGAUUGGGUGAAUGCUAUGAUUGCUGGUGCAGUGGCAGGCGCAGCUGUUGCUGCUGGGUCACGAAGUCGGACAAAGAUGAUAGAGAUGGCUGGUCUGGUUUCCGCCUUUAGUGUCGCUGCUCACUACUUUAAGUCAUCUUGAAGAAUCUUCUGCUGAAAACCUGAGGUGGAAGAGCAAGGAGGUCCAUGGGAUACUGAGGUCGAUGUCCGGUUAUACAAUUGCUAUGAACCAGCACACUCAAAAAGAAUUACAUGAAUAGAUAAGUGUGGAGCCAGUAGAUGAUAAUGCAUUAUCUACGUUAUGUUUUGACAACCGUAUGCACAGUUUUCCAACCUUCUUGGGCGGCUGGGCUCGAAUGACAAAAGACAGGCUGAAAAGGCGAAGCAAUCUUAUAUACCCAAGUGGGUGCCAGUGUCAUAACAAUUUAAAGGCCUAAUGGGAGGAAAACUCUUGGAACGAGAAAUUAUUCGAUGAUUUUGGUACAACAUGGUCCUGUUUGAGAA